UACGUAGGGGUCUAGCGUUGUCCGGAAUUAUUGGGCGUAAAGAGCUCGUAGGCGGUUCGGCAAGUCGGAUGUGAAAUCUCCACGCUUAACGUGGAGGGGCCAUUCGAAACUGCCGUGACUCGAGUCCGGUAGGCGAGUGGAACUCCUGGUGUAGCGGUGGAAUGCGUAGAUAUCGAGAGGAACACCUGCGGCAAAGGCGGGUUGCUGGGCCGACACUGACGCUGAUGCGCGAAAGCCAGGGGAGCGAACGGG
rnacentral:rRNA from 1 species